GACGAACGCUGGCGGCGUGCUUAACACAUGCAAGUCGAACGGGAUCCAUCGCCGUAGCUUGCUACAUGAUGGGUCUAGUGGCGAACGGGUGAGUAACACGUGGGCAACCUGCCCUGAAGACCGGGACAACACGGGGAAACCCGUGCUAAUACCGGAUAACCUGCCUUUCCCGCAUGGCAUCGGUAGAAAAAGGAAGUUUACUUCCGCUUCAGGAUGGGCCCGCGCCCCAUUAGCUUGUCGGUGAGGUAAAAGCUCACCGAGGCGACGAUGGGUAGCCGGCCUGAGAGGGUGAACGGCCACACUGGGACUGAGAUACGGCCCAGACUCCUACGGGUGGCUG
rnacentral:rRNA from 1 species